AUGUCUAAGUUGAAAAACACAAACAAAAAAGGUUUUGAAAAGAGGGAGAGAUUUGAAAUUAAAGAAGUGGGAGGAGAUGAAGGGACUACCCUGGAAAAAAAUUAAAAGUUAAGAGUUGAAAAGAUCUUACCAAUGGGAUGCAAUCCACAAGACAAGAAUGUCAGAUAGAAAUCCAUUUUCCUUUGGACUUUAGCAGGCAACAAGUAUAAGCAAUAUCCA
rnacentral:lncRNA from 1 species